UAUCUUGUGAGCGAAGAUGAUCAAAUUAUGCACAUCCUCUCUGGUCUUGGUUCAGAUUAUGAUUCUGUUAUGGUCACCAUAACCUCAAAACCUGAGGCAUGGUCUCUUGGUGAAGUUAGCUCUCUUCUUCUUAGUUUUGAGA